AUCACGUUGAAACUCCGGAUUCCUUAAAAUCCCUGACGUUAAGCAACGUCCAGCCUGGUUAGUAACUAGAUAGGUAACCGUUUGGGAAUACCAGGGGCUGUAAG